UAUCACUUUUCAGUAAAUGUCUCCCUAACAUCGUUCGUUAGGAUGUUUUUCAGCUCUGCGCUUUCAUCCGACGACGAUAAGUAGCUGGGAGAAUUCCGGAAAUUCAUUUUGGCUCUAGUUAGCACAUGCUCUUGCGUGCCAAAAAUAAAAUUUGCAAAUAUUAAAAAAUAUGGAAAAAAGAUAUGUUCAUUGUCACACCGAAAUGGUACAUGCAAACUUACAGGGGAAAAACUUAACCAUGUUGACUUGUGGGAAAAAAAGUCGAACACCAAAUGUCACACUUAAUUUUUUUUCCACCGAUGAAGCACUAUUAUCCCAUAUGGCAUGAAAAUUGUCAAGCACGCUUGCUACACUAAUAUGAACAUGCAGUAAAAAUUUAGAAUGAUUUUCCUGUUCAUUACAGAGAAUAUGCUCCCAGAGCCAAAUAUUCGCGUCCGGGGAAUUACUUCUUUUUGGAAAAAGAAGAAAAAAAUGGCUCGAUGCGAUACAUACAUUUGCUAGGCCCACUUUGCUCUGCCCGGUAUGUUUCAAUAGUGAGUGGAGAAAAUGAAAAGGCCGAGCUGAAUCCAUCUGGCCAUUCCAGCCCACGAGCACUUCCUCUUGCACUACCCUCCUCACUUCCACAGCAGCGGACACAGCAGACUUGUCUCAAAAAACAAACAGACACAGCAGACUCGCCUAGGCUAUCACGCCGCCGCCGCCGCCGCCGUCCGACGCCUGGGCUCGCCGCCGCUGGGGUGUGGUGCUGCAGCCUUCGUUUCUCGAUGGAGAAUAGCGUCGGCUUCCUCCAUCCAGAUCUUUGCAUAACUCGUCCUCCUGGCCGACCUCGCAUGUGCGCCGCCACCUUGCUGCCAUCCCGGCGAGCGUCCCGACAGCCGCCGCUUGCCUCUUCAUUCUCCGCCCCGCCUGGCUGCCCUCUGCUUCCGUGACGUCGCCUCCAAUAUUGCAAAGGUUUCUUGGACUUAGAUAAAGCGAUGUUUAGAAAAAUCAGUGCAACAACAUCAGCUCCAAGGCGAGAAAUAUGUCUCUAUUUUGACUGACGGGAUGUCUGGCCACAACGCCACCUUAUUGUGAUCGUCACUUGGUGUAUCUGCUUCUUUGAUGCUUGGAAACAUUGAUGAGGGGAUGUCUGUCCAUAAAAGAUGGUUAGUUGUACAAACAUUCGUAUAUUUAUUUUGAACGCGAGUAUUGUGUAAAAUUUAGUAUUACCGUAAAUCAUUUCUUCUGGUUGCUGUAGAGGUUCUGUGUUGGCGUCGCCGGUUUCCGUCAUAGAUACAUCUUGUUUCGAUGAUACAUGCCUCUGUCUUGUCGUGAAUUCUUUGUUACGACGGUGUAGCAAUGUUUGCCUUUCUCCUGGUGUGACAUGCUUUCUGUAAUCAGGAAAGGUAGAAGUACCAACUUCUUUUUCAGUUGCGAUAUAUGCAGGGUUCUCCAGUGCAAUGGAGUCUUUGCUUGCUGUGUUGCGUUUCAAUUCAUUGAUAUGUUCUAUUCUAGCUUUCUUUUGUUCCGGCUGCAUUUUUGCAUAUAUCUGCCUUUGUUGUGCGCAUAUUUUUUCUUUCUUUUGUUGAUAGCCUUCACGGCGUUUUUUGAGUUUUUCCUCUCUUUUUUCAUCGGCCAUUUGUGCAUAGCGCUCUCUGUCUCGUUUCCUUCUUCUUUCCUUAGCAUCCAUCUCUGGAGAAUGUGAUCAAAAUGCUUGCCUGCAUGAGAGUUCAGUGUGCAAUCUAGUCAAAUAAUUGCAUCUAUUUUUUCCUUGUCAACAAUGAUGUUUAAAUAUGAUUCAGUGUGUCAUAUAUAAAAUCUUGUAAAUUUGUUGCUCAAAGUACGGUUUGGUGUACUAUUUGUUCGGAAAUUUCAAAUUGCUAAUGAUAAACUUAUUCAUUUCAUGGCAGGUACCGGUGUUCCUAAAGAUGUUGAAGAAUUCGCAAAAAGAAAGAGAUGUUGAAGGAUGUCGUAUAUGAAAAUACGCAACGAAAAUACCUGAUGUUAAUCUGACUUGGGAGCUUACCAGCUUAAUUGAACCAAAGGUAUCUAGAAGGCGACGUGUGAAACUGAUUCUAUUUAAUUGAAUUGAAGACUUGAGAUUGUGUAAGAAUCACGUGGAGGUACAGGUGUAUUUGUAGCACCAGCGAUACCUGCCUCCAAGUAGGUUUCGGCCUCCUGUAUGUAUCUAAGUAUUCCCUCCGUCCCGAAAAACAUGUCGCGGUGGCAUUUUUGCAAAAAAACCCUCUUGUUUUUC